AGGCAGGGCUGGGCCGGGGGCGGCCCAGGCGACUACAGGUAGCAGGAGGGCGGGGACGAGAGCCGUUGCGCCACCGCUGGCGCGCCGGUUUUGUUGUUAUUGCGAGGAUUGUCUGGGGCCCCUUUAAGCCGGAACAGGCAGGGCGGAAGUGCGUCACCGGCGGCACGCCCCUGCACAUGGACCUCCCCCGUCCCCGCCAUCCCUGCCGAUCCUGUUGCUGCCGCCUUCCCGCCGUGCUCGGGCUGCCCGGGACUCUAGCCGCCAGGCUUCGCGUCGCCCAGCGGCAGAUCGGGCUCCUGGGAGCCUCUCCCCUGGCCGUUUGCUCGGCCUCGGCCCCAGCUGCCCUGGGGCCUAGCCACUAGCUCCCCUGGCGCUAGCCUACCCUGUCUUGACCGCACCCUGAAGAUUUGGGAAGUCUUUCUCCAUCCCAAGAGUCGUCUCUGCAAAAGUUGGUGUCCUUCCUGGUGCUGAACCACGCUUCUGCUCAAAAUGUGUUGAGCGUCGUCUGUCUGCAAAGCACGGUGCCAGGAGCUUUGGUGGAGAAGGCAUGGGGUACAUGUGUAAAGAGUACAGGCUUUUGGUUAAACCUGAAGUCCUCCUCUACUUUCUGGGGGACCCUGGCCGUCCUUGCUGAGCCUCCGUUGACUUCUCUAAUGGGGACGGUAAUGCCUACCUGACCACAAGCUGAUGAGUAAAUGAGCUAUGAGUGCAAAGUGUGGUGCAGUUCUGGCGUGUGCCAGCCUCUCAAGUGUCAGUUUCCGUCUCAUUCCUCUUAAUCUUCACUAAAAUGGACAAGUAUUCAUUGAGCACCUAAUGCGUGUUCAGUAUGGUGGGAGAUGAGGGAUGACAGUAUUAUUUUUCUAUUUUAUAGGUUAGACAUAGAACAAAAGGUUGAGUCUAUUGCCCAUAGCCGAACUUUUCUUCAUUUUCUACUGUGGUUUAGAAGUCGGUAUAGUAAGUUAAGGGUUGUUAGAUGUGCAUUUUCACAGCUCCCAGCUUCCACUUAGGAGUAGAUAACAUAGGGGACUUUGCGAGCUGGUCUCUUUCCCUCUUAGCUUCAGAAGGGCUUCGAGGUAGCCACCACUGAAUUAGUUGAGAGACAAGGCACCCCUACGGAGGAAAUCUCAACUGCACAACCCCUACUGUGCCCCAAUUCAGCAGGAAGCAGUUAGAGCGGUGGUCAAACCUCCCCAAUAGCACUUGGGUUUUCCUGUUGAGAGGGGGUACUGAGAGACAGGACUAGUUGGAUUUCCUAGGCUGGCUAAGAAUCCCUAAGCCUAGCUGGGAAAUUGACCACGUCCACCUUUAAACACGGGGCUUGCAAUUUAGCUCACACCCGACCAAUCAGGUAGUAAAGAGAGCUCACUAAAAUGCUAAUUAGGGAAAAACAGGAGGUAAAGAAGUAGCCAAUCAUCUAUCGCCUGAGAGCACAACAGGAGGGACAAUGAUCAGGAUAUAAACCCAGGCAUUCAAGCCAGCGGUGGCUACCCUCUUUGGGUCCCCUCCCUUUGUAUGGAAGCUCUGUUUUCACUCUAUUAAAUCUUGCAAUUGCACACUUUUCUGGUACGUGUGUGUCACAGCUCAAGCUGAGCUUUCGCUCACCGUCCACCACUGCUGUCUGCCGCUGUCACAGACCCACAGCUGACUUCCAUCCCUCUGGAUCCAGCGAGGCGCCCAUUGCUGCUCCUGAUCGGGCUAAAGGCUUGCCCUUGUUCCUGCAGGGCUAAGUGCCCAGGUUCGUCCUAAUCUAGCUAAACACUAGUCACUGGGUUCCACGAUUCUCUUCCAUGACCCACAGCUUCUAAUAGAGCUAUAACACUCGCCGCUUGGCCCAAGAUUCCAUUCCUUGGAAUCCAUGAGGCCAAGAACCCCAGGUCAGAGAACACAAGACUUGCCACCAUCUCGGAAGUGGCCCGUCACCAUCUUGGAAGCGACCUGCCACCAUCUUGGGAACUUGGGGAGCAAGGACCCCCAGUAACAUAGUGACCAGGAGGAAAUUCUUCCUCUCAACAGCUAAUGCAGCAGGAUCUCUUACACCGUACCCUCCCUCACCUUGCUCUUGCUCUUCAUGGUAGAACACGUACCAUAUCUUAGCUGUACUCUAUCAACUGCGCAUCUGAAGUAAAGAGUGAAGUCUUCUUUGUUUCCAGUCAUGGAGCAACAACUUGCUAUGAUACUGGCCUUCUGUAGCUGACUCUUCUUUGUCUACCCAGGCACUCUAAUGGAACUUUAAUUCUAGCUAAAGUUAUUUUCUCAGACUCCUUUGAAGCAAGGGGCAGCCAUUUGACACACUUCAAGCCAAUGAGUUGAAUGUUGAACUUAUUGCUGAGGCUUCUAAGAAAGCAUAUAGAUGGAAGGGCUCUGCGAAUCAGAGCUCAUCUUUGCCCUACACCUGUCUUCCAGGAGGAACGUGAAGAGCUACAGCACUCAUAGUUCAGUCAUGAAACAACAAACAGGAGAACAAUGGCCUGCAUUCCAAGGAUGGCAGAGCAGAAAACUGUAAAGAGGCUGGGCAUUUGAUGGCAUUGUGGUGCCACCAGACAAGCCCUAAGCUAUCUUCCCUAAGACUUCUUGUUUUGGGUCAAAUUCCUGUUUAAGCCAGGAAGUUUUCACAACCUUCACCACCCAGUCCUGCAGCUGUUGUCUCAUGCUUGUGACUCAGACUUCCAGGAAUCCUUUAGAAGUGAUGUGGUGAUCUCGUUUGGCACUAUGCAAUGUACACUAUUAAUGAAGGUACCCUAAUAAUUAUAAAUAUUAAGACAGAAUGUGCAUUUCACAGUGAUUUAAACACUCUUUAACACUCUUUAAAACAGUCCAUCAAAGGUUCGCUAACACAGAGAAAAACAUUUAAAAUUGUAAUAAAGGCUGGGCGCAGUGGCUUGCCUCUAAUCCCAGCACUUCAGGAGGCCGAGGCAGGCAGAUUGCUUGAGCUCAGGACUUUAAGACCAGACUGGGCAACACGGAGAAACCCCGUCUCUACAAAAAAAUUCAAAAAUAAGCCGGGCGUGGUGGUGCACGCCUGUGUUCCCAGCUACUCUGAAGGCUGAGGUGGGAGGAUUGCUUGAACCCAGAAGGUAGAGGUUGCAGUGAGCUGAGACCAUACCAUGCACUCCAGCCUGGGUGAUAGAGUGAGACUCUGUCUCAAGAAAGAAUAAAAAGUAAAAAUAAAAUUGUAAUGAACAUUCAAGAAAUUGAAAUAUACGGGUACAAAGAUGAUAUAGUAUCAGAAAAAAUGAUUUUUUUUAAAUUUUACAGCCACUUGAAUUAAGUACCUAAAAAUGCUUUUGAUGCUGUUGAGCUUGGCUAUGAUAACAACAGUAUGUAAAUAUUCCACUUUUGUUAAAAUAUGUAUAAACAGGUAUGUGUACAGAGCAGUGUAUGAAAGGGUGGUCCCCAGAAUAUUGAUAGUGUUUGACGUGGAAUUUGGGCUAGGAAAAAUAAUUACCAAUGAGGAGAUACAAGAUAGCAGCAGUUAGGGAGAGGCCGUCCAUGCAGCUGCCUAUUUAAAUCACUGUCCAUGUUAACAGAUAAGAACUGGAAAUGUCAAAGAACAAUUGCCCAGCUCAGUUACCAUCUGCUACUAAAGAUAGCCCCAGCUGGGUGCGAUGGCUCACACCUGUAAUCCCAACACUUUGGGAGGCUGAGGCAGGUGGAUCACCUGAGGUCAGGAAUUCAAGACCAGCCUGGCCAACAUGGUGAAACCCCAUCUCUACUAAAAAUACAAAAAAUUAGCUAGGUGUGGUGGUGCAUGCCUGUAAUCCCAGCCACUAGGGAGGCUAAGGCAGGAGAAUUGCUUGAACUCUGGCAGCAGAGGUUGCAGUGAGCUGAGAUUGUGCCACUGCACUCCAGCCUGGUCGACAGAGUGAGACUCAGUCUCAAAAAAAAAAAGCCCGUAAUGAGAACUCUCAAGAGUACCAUGGUAAUAUAAUAUGGUAAUAGAUAAUAAAAGAGUCAUGAUCAUUAAUAAUAAAUAUAAUACUUCUACUUCAACUGAGGAAUGGAAAACUAAACAUCAUAUGUUCUCAUAUGUCCCUAAGCUAUGAGGAUGCAAAGGCAUAAGAAUGAUACAAUGGACUUUGGGGACUUUCAGGGAAAGGGUGAGAAGGGCGUAAGGGAUAAAAGACUACAAAUUGGGUUCAGUAUAUACUGCUCGGGUGAUGGGUGCACCAAAAUCUUAAAAAUCGCCAAAGAACUUAUGUAACUAAAUACCACCUGUUCCCCAAAAAACUAUGGAAAUUAAAAAUUAAAAAAUAAGUAUAAUUUCUGCUUUAGCGAUAUUAACUAUUCAGUACACAAUAAGUGAGUUUAGCAAUUCAGUGAUUUCUGACUGUUGGGUAGCUCUCUUUGUUAACAAAUAAAAUAUAAAUUUG
rnacentral:lncRNA from 1 species